GGCUUUUCAGUGCCACGAAAAGGGUGGCGUAGAGAAAGAGAGAGAGCCUUCCAGGCUACCUGCAGAAGGAGAGUCGCGAUCGCCUUUGGCGCGUGGCGUGAUCCAUCCCCCUCCCCCACCGCGGGCAAUAGUCGGACCGAGCCGGAGCCCCGCCCCGUAGGUGGGGCCGGGAGCUUCACCCGUGGCGCCUCGAUGGGGCGCCUCUAGCAGGCGGGUGCAGCCUGUCCCGCGUACCCAGGCGUCCUCGGUACCCACGAAACGGAUCCAAAGAGUCUCAACACUAAUGUAACAUCCCACCCUGACCCAUCUUUGCCCUCUGAGAAAAGCGGCCCGAAAUGAGUUGAGUUAUUCAUCCCCACCGCGGAGUCAGGGACAAGGAGCAGUUGAGUGGCCGAGGAGUGAGAGAGAAUCGAAUCCACUCGGGUCCUCCAAGCUGUUGGUUACCCACUUGGGCUUUCACAGCAAAGCUGCCAAAUCCCAGAAUUGAGGCCUCGGUGAAAAGCGCGCUGAGACUUGGGUAGGAGGCCCGGUGGGACCCGCGAGCUUUCUCUCCCAGCCCGAUGCAGCAGUUCAUUAAGCGGCUGUGUUUCCUCCUAACUGGCGAAGGACUCAGGUGGGCGGAGCAGAGCUCAGCUUGGGAGGAGGCGGACGCGAGUAGCUCGGCAGGGGGACUCGCUUGGCUUUCGUGCCAUCCGUGGACACAGUCGCGCGGGUUACUCUCAUCUGGAUUAUUGUAGUCACCUUGUCACUGGUAUCUCUGCUUUCUCCUAACCCCCAUCUAAUCUCCAAAAAAUCAGAGCAUGUCACUCCUGG
rnacentral:lncRNA from 1 species